GCAGUUAUCUUUUUGGCACACAGAAUGUAUGGCAUAGCCUCUCUUACGACUGGAUGAACACAAUGCAGCUGUUGGUUGGCUGUCCCGUUGGCUGACUUUGGACUUGCCCUGAUGGAGCUUGGUUUAAUGACAGCUGUCAUCAGACUCUCCCUGGAUCUUUUUCUGAGGUUGAACUGAGUCAACAUCACUUCCAGUCCACUCCACAGACAUUCAACAGACAUGCACUGUGUCCCUGACUUGUAGUGAUGCUCCCUAAUCACAAAGGACCAAAGACAGUGCACACGACCACAGCAGGCGACCAGUCACACUGUCUGUACCAGGCAGCUUUAUAGUUUAUACCAUGCUUCACAGAGACACCUCCCAUAUCCCCUGGCUCACUUUUCUGGGCUGUUACUUUAUUGGGUGAAAUAUAAUCCAUGGAUGAUUACUGUGCAAGAUACAAAAUGGUGAUAAUGAUCUAGACUGUUAGACCUUGGGCAAGGUUCCGACUUUAUGAGGAUACAGAGGAUCCCAAUUAUGUCUGGUUAGAAUGCCUAUCAUUCUGUAACAGUGUAAGCUGUAACCCCUAUAUAUAUUUAUAUGAUGUCUCUGGUGGCAUGUCUCAAGUUGGUCUGUUUGAUGCCUUCCCAUUUCAAACUUGAAACUGCCCUAAAACUUCCAGACAGGAGGAAUAACUGUGUCAGCAGGGAGGCACAUGAAGGGUUCAUCACAACCAGGUGCUAAUGGCUCCCUGCUGACUCCUACCUCAUUUCAUCCACCUGCACGGCCUAUCAGUCAAACUGCAGGAGGUGCUAAAAACCAUGUAAAUGUUCAAUACACCUAGCAGAUAUAGCCAGAGCAACAAAAUUGCUGGGCCUUGAAAGGAGUAUUAAAAGUGGACAAACUGUGUGUACUUUGUAUGUUGGUACAGUACCAUUGAUAGAUAGAAAACAUGUGUACACUUUGGUCUUUCCUGGGGUUGUUCUGUUUUGAUCUUGUUUUUCUGCUAAUAUCAAUGAAGAACUUUUUACUAAGAUCAUAUUACAUACCUUCUAGUUUUUAAUAAGUUGGGAACUGGUCACACAAAAAAACGUACUGUUUGUAAACAAAUAUCAUUUAUCCUUGCUCACUAAGUUGAUGUUAUUCUUUGUCAAAAUUACAUGUUUUCUGAGCAGAAUAUAAUCGUACUGUCUGGUAGCAGGGAGACAUAUGGGAGUGUAGCAUAAUCCAAUUUUCCAGGCAGGUGCUAGACAAGGUAACACCUUGAAUUUAUGUAAAACUAAUGGCUCUUCAAAUUUUCACAGCAUGCUUAUCCUCUAAUGCAUGUACUUGUACAUGCACAUGCACUAGUGCAUGAGGAUUAAUUUGCUUGGUAUCAUGCAUCCUUGCCUUAUUUUUCAAUUCAGCUCCGACUCUGAAUACACAGAUGGGAAAUGGUAAUGUAGAAUUUCAACAACGAUAUGCAGCCUGUUUAUCAUGCAGUGUACCAUGCAUAUGUUGACAGAAGUUUGCAAUCAGCUUGGUUAUUAAAUGCUAGACUUGAUUAUGAUUGAACGCUGUAAUACAGGAUGAUAUGAGUUAGUUGCUUCAUCAUGCAAUAUUUUUUUACUCAUUGCUUCCAAGAGAAGAGCAUUAAAGCCUACAAGGGAUGUGUUUUUCAUAACCUUUAUCUUUUUUUUUACCAAGUUUGAUAAAUAGAUUUGUAUGCUCAGCUGCAGUCUGCUAGUAUUUUGCCUAACAUCGAAGACAGUGGCAUUUUCAAUUCACAAGUAUAUCUAUAUAUACCUGUACAACCUCUUCAACAGAGCAAGCAAACAAAUUGUAUCCUACAUUGCAAUAUUUAGCGAGCACUCUAAACUCAAUAACCUGUAACGAACAGGUGCUGAAACAGGUGGUUAGCCCUAGGGCAGAUGGGGUAAUAUACCAGCAGCCCCCAUUACACAUGAACCUUUAAUAGUUUCAUAGCCCGGAGAUAUGACUGGGGCAAUCAACACCUAUCAUUGUUCACAGAGUGGUCAAUGAAACUUGUCACUUCACUGAGUUUCCAUUCUCAUAACUUUUCCCUGGCUCAAGGAACUGUUCGAUGUUCCUAUGAUUACAUUGAAUGAAAGCUCUGCUUGAAUCUGAUGUAUGACAACCUGGUAAUAUCAAUAUUUCAACCUAUUCAUGUGAAACUUUUGGUCUAUCACAUGACAUACACCAGAU